rnacentral:rRNA from 1 species
UGACCUGCGGAGGAUCAUUAUUGAAAUAAACCUGAUGGGUUGCUGCUGGUUCUYUAAUGGRCAUGUGCACACCUGUCAUCUUUAUAUCUCCACCUGUGCACCUUUUGUAGACCUGGAUAAGUUUCUUAAUGCUAGCAUUAAGGUCUGAGGAUUGACUUUUGUCUCUCCUUACAUUUCCGGGCCUAUGUUUAUUCAUAUACCCCAUGUAUGUUAUAGAAUGUAAUAAUUGGGCCUUUGUGCCUAUAACACUAUACAACUUUCAGCAACGGAUCUCUUGGCUCUCGCAUCGAUGAAGAACGCAGCGAAAUGCGAUAAGUAAUGUGAAUUGCAGAAUUCAGUGAAUCAUCGAAUCUUUGAACGCACCUUGCGCUCCUUGGUAUUCCGAGGAGCAUGCCUGUUUGAGUGUCAUUAAUAUAUCAACCUCUUYUAGCUUUUGCUUGUUGAGUGCUGGAUGUGGGGGUAUCUUUUGCUGGUCUUUUAAGAGAUCAGCUCCCCUAAAAUGCAUUAGCGGAACAAUUUGUUGACCGUCAUUGGUGUGAUAAUUAUCUACGCUAUUGAUGUGAAGGCAGUUCAGCUUCUAAUAGUCCAUUGACUUGGACAAUUUUCAUUAAUGUGACCUCAAAU